AGGGGAGAAAAUAAAAAGAAAAGAAUCGGAUAUAAUGCUAUAACGGUAAUUAAACUCAAUUAAAACAAAAGAAGUCAAAUAAUCAAUGGAACAGAAAAAGCGAACAACCUGCUAUUAGUAAAGAAAACAUGAACAAUAGUAGGUGGCUAGCUUUAAUUAGCUAGGAGCAACUUCCACAGAGCAACUUUGCACAAACUGAUACUUGAUCCCUUCCCCGUCGGCAAUGCCAUGGAACCGGUUGCCAAAAGUCAUGUAGGCCGGACAAUUGACGUUGAUUCGGUACUUGCCUGAAAUCCAAGAGCCAACCUUCCAUUUGAGUAUCCCAUCGACCUUGAUAUUGACGAGUACCGCUCCAGCAUUCAGGUCUUGGCCCAAAGCACCAGCUAGAUAUGGAGAUACAGGCACAGAAUUAGCAUAUAGAAAGGGAGACCAAAUCGUGAUAUCUUUGUGGCCCUGGUAACUCCUAGGCAGCUCAGUUGCAAGGGUUAUUUGUUGGUUACGGUAGGAAGCAUAGAUAUCAAGCUUUUCAUAGUAAAUACCAAUCCUCUCAUUGGGGUUUUUGGCGGAUAUGGUGACCUCAAUGUUACUACUAAGGAAAUUUGAGCCUGAAAGACUCAAGGCAUUCACCGUAGCAUCCUGGAGGAUGAAAGUCGGCUUUUUGGGCUGGAGAAUGGCCCAAACCAGCAAGAUCACCAAGCCGAUGAUGACAAAGAUAGCGAUGACCAACCAGAAUAUCCGGCGGUAGAGCUUCUUCCUUUCGUCGUGGCGGUGACCGCAGCUCUUUUCAGACAUGUUAAUUGGAUUUGGAGUGGGGCUUCAAGAUAAUUCCUAGCUGUCACAAUAAUAACAUAGAUCAAGAGACAAAGAGAAGUGAUGAAAUUGCAAGCAUGG
rnacentral:misc_RNA from 1 species